AUUGAACGCUGGCGGAAUGCUUUACACAUGCAAGUCGAACGGCAGCACGGACUUCGGUCUGGUGGCGAGUGGCGAACGGGUGAGUAAUGUAUCGGAACGUGCCCAGUCGUGGGGGAUAACGUAGUGAAAAUUACGCUAAUACCGCAUACGAUCUAUGGAUGAAAGCGGGGGAUCGCAAGACCUCGCGCGAUUGGAGCGGCCGAUAUCAGAUUAGGUGGUUGGGGGGGUAAAGGCCCACCAAGCCAACGAUCUGUAGCUGGUCUGAGAGGACGACCAGCCACACUGGAACGGAGACACGGUCCAGGCUCCUACGGGAGGCAGCAGGGGGGAAUUUUGGACAAUGGGCGAAAGCCUGAUCCAGCCAUUCCGCGUGCAGGAUGAAGGCCCUCGGGUUGUAAACUGCUUUUGUACAGAACGAAAAGGCUUCUACUAAUACUAGGAGCUCAUGACGGUACUGUAAGAAUAAGCACCGGCUAACUACGUGCCAGCAGCCGCCGUAA
rnacentral:rRNA from 1 species